rnacentral:rRNA from 1 species
UACGUAGGGGGCAAGCGUUGUCCGGAAUUAUUGGGCGUAAAGAGCGUGUAGGCGGUCCGGGAAGUCGGCUGUGAAAGCCCAGGGCUCAACCCUGGGAUGCCGGUCGAUACUGCCGGACUAGAGUUCGGAAGAGGCGAGUGGAAUUCCCGGUGUAGCGGUGAAAUGCGCAGAUAUCGGGAGGAACACCUAUGGCGAAGGCAGCUCGCUGGGACGUUACUGACGCUGAGACGCGAAAGCGUGGGGAGCAAACAGG